rnacentral:lncRNA from 1 species
UACUAAUAGGUUGAAAAAGAGGUGGUGGCAAGGAAAAUGGAGAGGAGUCCAGGCAGCCAUUUGCAUGUGUGUUUGUGUAUUUAAUAAGGACCACGUGUUCCACCGUUACGCUGGCUUAGUGGAGGAUUUCAGACUGUUCUAUGUCUCCUCACUUGGGGCUUGGGCUGCCCUUUCAUUCCACCGCCAUUCCUAGAGGUGUCAAGAUACCCGCCUUCACCUUUAUGCA